AUGACCAUAUCCUGUUGAAACAUCAAUUCUUGUCUGAUCACAAAAGUUAAGCAACGUCUGAGUCUUGUCAGUACCUAGAUGGGUGACCGCUUGGGAAUACCAGGUGCUGUAUG